rnacentral:lncRNA from 1 species
CUGAGGAGACAUUCUAUAAGGUUGGCUUGAGCCUUACCAACCCUUUGGAUAAGUGUAAAUAUUUGUAGUAUAUUUCACCUCGAUUCUUCUUGGCUCGUGAUUUUCUAUAUUUCAGACAUGAAGCUCGAGGAACUUGAAUAGCUACACCACUUCACCAAGAGGAAGAAGCCUUUGGGCAGUGCUUUCGCUCCCAAGGAGGGCC